CCUCCUUCCACCGCUGCAGGAAGUGAGCUAGCACCGGUUUCGCUCACCCUGCUCCACCAUUGCCUGCAAUCUGCAUUGCAAGUAAUGUUCACAUCUUUUUCUUGCUCUGGGGAUUUUCUUUAGCAGACUUGGCCUUCUUCUCUCACACACUCUCUCUCUCUGAGCUUUUCUCCUCUUCACACGAAGCACUAGCAGCGCUCCGACUACCUCCGCCGCUCGUCCAGCUGUAUCACUGCACUCUGUCUGCAUUCCAGGUACUGAACGCCUCUUUGUUUCUCUGUUUCUUUUUUUUCUUUUUUCUUUUUUCCGCAGAUACUGUUUCAGCAGACCUCUGCAAAAACAAGCUGAAGUAAACCCCCACCACUGCCUCUCAAGAGUAUCCACCGACACCAGAAAUCUACUUCCCAGGCCAUUCUCCUUUCUGACAUUAUCCGUUGAACUGGUGGGAAGAUCAUCAUCACAGGACCAAGAAAAUCAGACCAUGGAGGGAGAUGGUGCUAAAAAGUUUGAGGUGGAGGACAAA